AAACUUUUGGCCAAACGCAAUCAAAAGCCUGAAGUAAGAAAAGCACAAAGAGAGCAGGCAAUAAGAGCUGCUAAAGAUAAAAUCAGGCAAAAGAAGGAGGCUAAAAGAUGACAAAGGCCGCACAACAACCAGUGAAGACAAAAGCUCAAACAAAACAAAAAGGUGGAAGAAGUACAGGUGGUGUUGGUGGAAAACGUUGAAUGUAAAUUAUCACACAUUUCACUAUAAUAAAUGGUCAUGGUUUAAUGGUA